rnacentral:rRNA from 1 species
UGCAGUCGACGGCAGCACGGGGGGUAACCCCUGGUGGCGAGUGGCGAACGGGUGAGUAAUAUAUCGGAACAUGCCCUGUAGCGGGGGAUAACGCGUCGAAAGAUGUGCUAAUACCGCAUACGCUCUACGGAGGAAAGUGGGGGUCGCAAGACCUCGCACUAUAGGAGUGGCCGAUAUCGGAUUAGCUAGUUGGCGGGGUAAAAGCCCACCAAGGCGACGAUCCGUAGCUGGUCUGAGAGGAUGAUCAGCCACACUGGAACUGAGACACGGUCCAGACUCCUACGGGAGGCAGCAGUGGGGAAUUUUGGACAAUGGGCGCAAGCCUGAUCCAGCCAUGCCGCGUGAGUGAAGAAGGCCUUCGGGUUGUAAAGCUCUUUCGGCAGGAACGAAAUGGUUCGUGCUAAUACCACGGACUGAUGACGGUACCUGAAGAAGAAGCACCGGCUAACUACGUGCCAGCAGCCGCGGUAAUACGUAGGGUGCAGGCGUUAAUCGGAAUUACUGGGCGUAAAGCGUGCGCAGGCGGUUUCUUAAGUCAGAUGUGAAAGCCCCGGGCUUAACCUGGGAACUGCGUUUGAAACUGGGAGACUUGAGUGUGGCAGAGGGGGGUGGAAUUCCACGUGUAGCAGUGAAAUGCGUAGAUAUGUGGAGGAACACCAAUGGCGAAGGCAGCCCCCUGGGUCAACACUGACGCUCAUGCACGAAAGCGUGGGGGAGCAAACAGGAUUAGAUACCCUGGUAGUCCACGCCUUAACUAUGUCAACUGGUUGUGGGGGAUUAACUCCUUGUAACGAGCUAACGCGUGAUU